ensembl:lncRNA
CAUGACAUGACUGGACAUAGCAGUAGAAAGAUGUGCCCAAAACUGGCUCCUGUGAGCUGGUAAAAGCUAACUCCUGCACAUCAUGUCAUUCCAAACUCCUGCUUGGGAAACAAGCACUGAAUCAGUCAGAGUUCUCCAGAGAAACAGAACGAGAAGACCAGUAGCAGGGGCCUGAGUUCAUUGCUGGCAGAAUGCAAUUUGCAAAGAUGAUUAAGAUACAGCGUCUGCCCUCCAGCCGAGUAGGGAUGAUACUCUUUGGUGCUUAUGCAUCAUUCGUCCUUAUACAAGUAACCAGGCAAGGGGGGCUGCUUUCUAGCUCAAAACCCAGCACAGAGCUUGGCAUGGAGUUGGCCUCAUUAUGAUUGAAUGAAUGCAGUCCCAUGAUUUUCAUGUCUUGGCAAGCAUCUGUCAACGGUUAUUCACGAUCCUGAGUCUUAGGACAAAAGAAAAUGAAUUCUAUUCUCCUCGUACUCAUGAAGAAGAUUGAAAAGCUGGUACCAGAGACACAGCUCAAUCCUCAGGUUUGGAGGAUGUACUACAGUUUGUUUUCCCAUUCACCUCCUGAAAGAUAUCUUGGAUUUGAAUGCUUCCAAGUUUUGCAAAUUAUGAAUAAAGCUGCUAUAAACAUCUAUGUGUGGGCUUUUCUAUGGAGAUAAGUUUUCAGUUCAUUUGGGUAAAUACCAAGGAGCUUGACUGCUUGAUUGUACGACCUGCUUCCCCAGUGCUGGCUCCAUACUCAGACUCUACAUGAUGCCAAGAAGGCUGCAGCAACUCCAACUCAUAUACAUGCGUAUGGUAUCGUCCUCCACAAGCCUCCCCCUCAUUGCUUAAGCUGAAGAAGACUUGGGAUAAAAUCUGAUGGG